UACAGAGGUCCCAAGCGUUGUUCGGAUUCACUGGGCGUAAAGGGUGCGUAGGCGGUCGCGUAAGUCUGAUGUGAAAUCUCGGAGCUCAACUCCGAAAUGGCAUUGGAUACUGCGCGGCUGGAGGUUGGGAGGGGGGACUGGAAUUCUCGGUGUAGCAGUGAAAUGCGUAGAUAUCGAGAGAAACACCAGUGGCGAAAGCGAGUCCCUGGACCAAUCCUGACGCUGAGGCACGAAAGCCAGGGGAG
rnacentral:rRNA from 1 species